AAAUUUUAACAACGGAUCACUUGGCUCUCGCAUCGUUGAAGAACGCAGCGAAAUGCGAUAAGUAAUGUGAAUUGCAGAAUUCAGUGAAUCAUCGAAUCUUUGAACGCACCUUGCACCCUUUGGCAUUCCGAAGGGUAUGCUCGUUUGAGUGUCAUUGUACUCUCACAUCUCUGAUCUUUUGGAUCGGGAGCGGUGGACUUGGGUGCUGCUGCUUUACUGUGGCUCACCUCAAAUGCAUUAGUGCAACUCUUGGUUGGACAUAGUACGGCGUGAUAAGUGUCUUCGCCGGCACCUCGCAAGAGGGUGGCUGAUCAGGGCUCUGUGCUUUCCAACUGUCUUCAGACAACAACUGACAACUUGACCUCAAAUCGAGUAGGACCACCCGCUGAACUUAAGCAUAUCAAUAAGCGGAGGCU
rnacentral:misc_RNA from 1 species